rnacentral:lncRNA from 1 species
UGCCGCCAUACUGCGUUUCCAGAGGCGGAGUAACUUGCCUUUGGAUUCAUUUACAGACCCACUUUGCUUACCAAAAUCAUCAUGAGAUGCAGAUCCGUUUGUUAUCCUUCCAUGCGUUGUGGUCCUGGUUUAGAUACGGAUGAAGUGACCUUUGAAAAAUUCGCCAGUUCCUUCCAGGUCUCGAAUAUCUCUGUCAAACCUUCUGUAUGUUUUUAUUUGAUACAAGCUCAAUAAUUGAGUUUGUCGAAGUUUGUUUUCAGUUUAUUCUAUGUAUUAUUAUUCUGUUUAUUCAAUAAUACGUUUAAUCUUACUGUUGUGGGUCGUGAAAGAUUUCCAGAAAUGACUACCGCGCUUUGAAACGUAUACAAAAGUGUUGCUCAAGAAUUUCACUUUUAAAAUG